CCUUUUGUCCUGAUCCAACCCGAGAGAGAGAGAAAGCAAAGUCUUCUCUUUUUCUCUCUUUCUCUCUUUCUCUAUAGCUCACAUCUCUCUCCUUCUCUUGUAAUCACUCCACCAAAGAGAAUUAAUUGGAGGAGAAAUUGGAGAUUGAGCUUGGAAAUAGCUCGGAGAGGAAGCUUGGAGCUCUCUAAUGGUGGAUUUAGCUUGGAGAGCUAUGUGGUCAAGGAUAAUUCGACGCGGAGGACAACUUCGUUUUGGAUUACGUUGAGGUUACGGCGUCCGAUUGAGAGAUUUGCGGAAUUUGGUUCGCUAGGCUUGGGUCGGGACGAAUCGGCAUCGGAAAUUGAAUUGCUUGGAAAUCCUAGCAAUCGGUAAUGAGACGAGGCGUCAUUGACUUCUUGCAAGAAGUAGGUCCAUCUAGAGGUAAUGGUGUUGGGUGGAUUUAUUCUAUCAAAAGGUAAUUUACAAUUCGACAGUUAUUGGCACUUUUAUCUCAAUAUUUGAUUUAAUCUAUCUCUUUCUCUAUUUUUUCGUUCUUUUUCCAACAGAGGAAGUGAAGAAGUGGUGGAAGGUGGAGAAGGAAGAAGAAGAGAAAGAGAAAUGCAACUCUUUCUAUGUUUUUUUCGUUAUUUUUUCGAUAGAGGAAGUGAAGAAGUGGUGGAAGUAGGAGGAAAAAGAAGAAUAGAAAAAAAAUAGUGUAAAUUUUAUCCAAAGAGUGCAACUUUUGUCUAAAGAGUGUAACUCUCAUCCCAAAGAGUGUAAUUUCUGUCUCAAA